AGGUGUAAAUUGGGCUUUGAUACGCUGCGCGAGCCCUCCUGAGAUCCCAAGGCCUGUGGAAUUCGAGAGAAUUUCAGUUCCACCAGCAGCAUCAACCAGUGAGAAAGGUGUAGCUGGAACUGUUCCUUACCAGAAGAAUUCAGACAACUAUCUUGAGUUUGAUUUCUUCUAAUCUAUUUUUUAUAUAUCUUUUUUUCCGUCGAGGCGAUAUUGGCUGUUCAUCUUCACAAAUUGAAACAUAGGAAGGCUGUACAACAUUUGGAAGAUGUUAUGUGAAGGUUUGAUUAGUUUGAUGAUCAUAUUAUUGUUUUGAGUUGUAAUUCAACAGUUGAAAAUUUGUUGCAUGCCAAAACACUACAAGUUUGAUGCUACCAAUCG
rnacentral:misc_RNA from 1 species